UUAACACAUGCAAGUCGAGCGGAUGAAAGUAGCUUGCUACCGGAUUCAGCGGCGGACGGGUGAGUAAUGCUUAGGAAUCUGCCUAUUAGUGGGGGACAACGUUCCGAAAGGAGCGCUAAUACCGCAUACGUCCUACGGGAGAAAGCAGGGGACCUUCGGGCCUUGCGCUAAUAGAUGAGCCUAAGUCGGAUUAGCUAGUUGGUAGGGUAAAGGCCUACCAAGGCGACGAUCUGUAGCGGGUCUGAGAGGAUGAUCCGCCACACUGGGACUGAGACACGGCCCAGACUCCUACGGGAGGCAGCAGUGGGGAAUAUUGGACAAUGGGGGGAACCCUGAUCCAGCCAUGCCGCGUGUGUGAAGAAGGCCUUUUGGUUGUAAAGCACUUUAAGCGAGGAGGAGGCUACCUAGAUUAAUACUUUAGGAUAGUGGACGUUACUCGCAGAAUAAGCACCGGCUAACUCUGUGCCAGCAGCCGCGGUAAUACAGAGGGUGCGAGCGUUAAUCGGAUUUACUGGGCGUAAAGCGUGCGUAGGCGGCCAAUUAAGUCAAAUGUGAAAUCCCCGAGCUUAACUUGGGAAUUGCAUUCGAUACUGGUUGGCUAGAGUAUGGGAGAGGAUGGUAGAAUUCCAGGUGUAGCGGUGAAAUGCGUAGAGAUCUGGAGGAAUACCGAUGGCGAAGGCAGCCAUCUGGCCUAAUACUGACGCUGAGGUACGAAAGCAUGGGGAGCAAACAGGAUUAGAUACCCUGGUAGUUCAUGCCGUAAACGAUGUCUACUAGCCGGUGGGGCCCUUGAGGCUUUAGUGGCGCAGCUAACGCGAUA
rnacentral:rRNA from 1 species